rnacentral:rRNA from 1 species
GGGGAAUUUUGGACAAUGGGCGCAAGCCUGAUCCAGCAAUGCCGCGUGCAGGAUGAAGGCCUUCGGGUUGUAAACUGCUUUUGUACGGAGCGAAAAGGCUCUCUCUAAUACAGGGGGCUCAUGACGGUACCGUAAGAAUAAGCACCGGCUAACUACGUGCCAGCAGCCGCGGUAAUACGUAGGGUGCAAGCGUUAAUCGGAAUUACUGGGCGUAAAGCGUGCGCAGGCGGUUAUGUAAGACAGAUGUGAAAUCCCCGGGCUCAACCUGGGAACUGCAUUUGUGACUGCAUAGCUAGAGUACGGCAGAGGGGGAUGGAAUUCCGCGUGUAGCAGUGAAAUGCGUAGAUAUGCGGAGGAACACCGAUGGCGAAGGCAAUCCCCUGGGCCUGUACUGACGCUCAUGCACGAAAGCGUGGGGAGCAAACA